rnacentral:rRNA from 1 species
CCUACGGGUGGCAGCAGUGAGGAAUAUUGGUCAAUGGCCGUAAGGCUGAACCAGCCAAGUCGCGUGAAGGAAGAAGGAUCUAUGGUUUGUAAACUUCUUUUAUAGGGGAAUAAAGGUAUCCACGUGUGGAUAUUUUCAUGUACCCUAUGAAUAAGCAUCGGCUAACUCCGUGCCAGCAGCCGCGUUAAUACGGUGGAUGCGAGCGUUAUCCGGAUUUAUUGGGUUUAAAGGGUGCGUAGGUUGUGUUUUAAGUCAGCGGUGAAAGUGUGUGGCUCAAACAUAAAAUUGACGUUGAUACUGGAAUGCUAGAGUGUGUUUGAGGGAGGCAGAAUG